GUGUAGAUAGUAUAAUAAAUAUGUUAGAUUUAGGUUCUAAAGAUUAAAUACACU
rnacentral:tRNA from 1 species